UGGGGAAUUUUGCACAAUGGGGGAAACCCUGAUGCAGCGACGCCGCGUGAUUUAGAAGGCCUUCGGGUUGUAAAAAUCUUUUCUAUGGGAAGAAAAUGACAGUACCAUAGGAAUAAGGACCGGCUAAUUACGUGCCAGCAGCCGCGGUAAUACGUAAGGUCCGAGCGUUGUCCGGAAUCAUUGGGCGUAAAGGGUACGUAGGCGGGUAAGCAAGUUAGAAGUGAAAUCCUGUAGCUCAACUACAGUAAGCUUUUAAAACUGCUCAUCUUGAGAUAUGGAAGGGAAAGUGGAAUUCCUAGUGUAAAGGUGAAAUGCGCAGAUAUUAGGAGGAAUACCGGUGGCGAAGGCGACUUUCUGGCCAUAAUCUGACGCUGAGGUACGAAAGCGUGGGUAGCAAACAGG
rnacentral:rRNA from 1 species